AUGCUUCAGCGUCAUGGGUGGCCAAACUGUAACCUUUGUCCACUAUGCAAGCAAGUUCAAGAGUCGGCGGCCCACCUUCUAUUUCAAUGCCGAUACACUAUCAGAGUUUGGCGUAUGAUCAAAGAUUGGCUUGGUCUCCAUGAUGUGCAUCCUUCCGAUUGGAGUGACGCGACUUCUGUUAAAGAGUGGUGGAGCCACAAUGCUAACAAGAAGACCCAAUCGCGAAGGCCGCUUGCUUCCUUGAUGCUGCUAAUCUUCUGGGAGUUAUGGAAAGAGAGGAAUGCACGAGUCUUUCAUAAUAAUGCCGUUCCAGUGGGAGUCGUCCUUGCUAGGAUUAAAGAAGAGACCUCACUUUGAAGCAUUGCGGGAACAAGGCAUUUGAAUAACAUAAUGCCGCGAGAGUGA
rnacentral:rRNA from 1 species